rnacentral:rRNA from 1 species
AUUGAACGCUGGCGGCAGGCCUAACACAUGCAAGUCGAGCGAGCGGCGGACGGGUGAGUAAUGUCUGGGAAACUGCCUGAUGGAGGGGGAUAACUACUGGAAACGGUAGCUAAUACCGCAUACCAUCAGAUGUGCCCAGAUGGGAUUAGCUAGUAGGUGGGGUAACGGCUAACCUAGGCGACGAUACCUAGCUGGUCUGAGAGGAUUACCAGCCACACUGGAACUGAGACACGGUCCAGACUCAUACGGGAGGCAGCAGUGGGGAAUAUAGCACAAUGGGCGCAAGCCUGAUGCAGCCAUGCCGCGUGUGUGAAGAAGGCAUUCGGGUUGUAAAGCACAUUCAGCGGGGAGGCGUUGCCCGAAGAAGAAGCACCGGCUAACUCCGGGCCAGCAGCCGCGGUAAUAC